rnacentral:lncRNA from 1 species
CUGCUAUCAAGAGCCACGCAGUUCAGGAGGAGUCAGGAGAAGAGAGAAUGAGAUAAUUUUAUUUUUCCUGCAUCUUUUAAACAUGUGAGCUGAGCUUAAAGCAAGAUUUUAUCACUUCAACUUCCUCUUCAGGAGAGAGGAGAGAAAUCAGCUGUCUUGGGGCCAGCUUUUAUUUCUGAUGAUUAUUGUCUCUUACCUGGAUGACUGGGUAGGGACCAUUUCUGGCCUGGGUGACUUUGGCAUCUAGAUACUUGCAUACAUCUGGAGCCAUCUGCAGCUGGUGAAAAAUAACCCACCACAUAAAACACCACAGCUAGUGAACAUUUCCCACCUUUUAUCCUCUGGCUUCAUAGGGCUGUGACAGAUGGUGCCCCAGCAGGGACUAUGCAGCUCAACUGCCAAAGGGGAGCGUUAGCCAUCGUGAUGGUCCUGACUUCAGAUCUGGGGAUUUGAAUGUCUCAGGAGGGUAAUCUGAAUUUGAGGAGAAGGCCAUGGAGAUGU